UUCCAUCCAAUCCCAUUGCAUCUCAACUCUCAAGCAAUACAAUCCACCAAAAUACAGAACGUAGGGUAUUACUCUUCGGAGGCCCGAACCUGUCUAAAUCCUCGCGUUCUCGCGAUCACCUUCGAGUUCUUUGUCUCGCGAUCUUCUCUGCCUACAAAUCAACCACUUAGGUAACCCGUGGUGGACUGCCGGGCUACUAAA
rnacentral:lncRNA from 1 species